rnacentral:tRNA from 1 species
AAGGGUAUAGCUCAAGUGGUAGAGUGCAUGCCUAGCAUGCAUGAGGUCCUGGAUUCAAUUCCCAGUACCUCCA